UAAAUGCAAGGCGCGCAAUUCCACGCUCGCGAUAAAGUUGAAUAUCGGAAAUUUAUGCGAAACGGCGAUCGGCCGCGUCGAACGUAGCCAGGAACGUAGCGCGAAACUCGUUUUUCUCUGACGAUUCAAAAAUCAUUUUGCUGCUUGCGCGACUACAUAUGCACAUAUGUGCGUAGUAUAAGUAGAAAUGAUCGGUGGGAAAUAUUCGGAGUCAUGGAAAGAACGGCAGCCGGGAAAAUAAUAAGUUUAGAAUAAAAUUUCUAUCUCGCUCGAGAUCGAAAUGAUUCUUUCGAUCAACGGAAGUGAAAGAAACUAUUCUACUUUUAAUAUCGUAGAACGGGAAGAAGAAUGGAAUAAAUUAUUUGAGAUAUCGAAGAGAAGACGCGCGAAGCCCCUUGCAAAAUAUAAUCGAGUAAACGAACUGCUUUUAAUGGGAAAACGAAUGACUAACGCGAUCGGAAUUGGACUAAUAAUUGGAGGAAUGCGCAUCAACAUCGCAGGCGUGCGCGCGCGCGCGCACGCGUCGCCUUUAUCGCCUCGGCCUUCCUUCUAUGUGAUUCAAUUCGAAAAACAGUUCGUUGUUCUUGCGGAUUAUGCCUCGGAUCUCGCGAGGUAGCUCACGUAGGUAGGCAGCUAUGUCUAUGACCAGAGAGCUUCGAUUAUUCGGAUAUUUUCAAAAACGAGGGCAGAAAGACAAGACAGAGAGAGAGAGAGAGAGAGAGAGAGAGAGAGAGAGAGAGAGAGAAAAGGAGCAAAAAAAUAAAAAAGAAGAAAAUGGCUAUGGUCGACGGAAGAAGACGUGUGGUCGAGAGGCAGCGUGUGCUAUCGACGGCCCGGUCACGAAGCUACUAAGGUGAAAAUACAGAAAGAGAAGAGGGAGUUUUUCGCGGCGUCUCUGGCAACGUCGAUACGGUCGGCUGCCUGGCCACCCGGCCAGCCUCGACCCUGAUGAUGCGCUAUCGACGAUUAUCGGUUCGCGUAUACACAUGCGAGUACAAUGUUUACAAUGUCAUCUGUAUAUGUAAUACUUGCAAUAAUCUCGUACAUAAAUAUACGCAACAGUAUAAAGUUCCUCGGAGAAAGUCCGAAAUCAAUUAA